UGGGGAAUUUUGGACAAUGGGCGAAAGCCUGAUCCAGCAAUGCCGCGUGUGUGAAGAAGGCCUUCGGGUUGUAAAGCACUUUUGUCCGGAAAGAAAUCCUUGGCUCUAAUACAGUCGGGGGAUGACGGUACCGGAAGAAUAAGCACCGGCUAACUACGUGCCAGCAGCCGCGGUAAUACGUAGGGUGCAAGCGUUAAUCGGAAUUACUGGGCGUAAAGCGUGCGCAGGCGGUUUGCUAAGACCGAUGUGAAAUCCCCGGGCUCAACCUGGGGAACUGCAUUGGCGACUGGCAGGCUAGAGUAUGGCAGAGGGGGGUAGAAUUCCACGUGUAGCAGUGAAAUGCGUAGAGAUGUGGAGGAAUACCGAUGGCGAAGGCAGCCCCCUGGGCCAAUACUGACGCUCAUGCACGAAAGCGUGGGGGAGCAAACAGGAUUAGAUACCCUGGUAGUCCAGCGCCCUAAACGAUGUCAACUAGUUGUUGGGGAUUCAUUUCCUUAGUAACGUAGCUAACGCGUGAAGUUGACCGCCUGGGGAGUAC
rnacentral:rRNA from 1 species